rnacentral:rRNA from 1 species
AUCAAAGAAGGUAAUAAUCCUGUAGUCGAAAAUGUUGUCUCUCUUGAGUGGAUCCUGAGUACGACGGAGCACGUGAAAUUCCGUCGGAAUCUGGGAGGACCAUCUCCUAAGGCUAAAUACUCUCUAGUGACCGAUAGUGAACCAGUACCGUGAGGGAAAGGUGAAAAGCACCCCGGAAGGGGAGUGAAAUAGAACCUGAAACCGUGUGCUUACAAGUAGUCAGAGCCCGUUAAUGGGUGAUGGCGUGCCUUUUGUAGAAUGAACCGGCGAGUUACGAUUUGAUGCAAGGUUAAGCAGUAAAUGUGGAGCCGUAGCGAAAGCGAGUCUGAAUAGGGCGUUUAGUAUUUGGUCGUAGACCCGAAACCAGGUGAUCUACCCUUGGUCAGGUUGAAGUUCAGGUAACACUGAAUGGAGGACCGAACCGACUUACGUUGAAAAGUGAGCGGAUGAACUGAGGGUAGCGGAGAAAUUCCAAUCGAACCUGGAGAUAGCUGGUUCUCUCCGAAAUAGCUUUAGGGCUAGCCUCAAGUGAUGAUUAUUGGAGGUAGAGCACUGUUUGGACGAGGGGCCCCUCUCGGGUUACCGAAUUCAGACAAACUCCGAAUGCCAAUUAAUUUAACUUGGGAGUCAGAACAUGGGUGAUAAGGUCCGUGUUCGAAAGGGAAACAGCCCAGACCACCAGCUAAGGUCCCAAAAUAUAUGUUAAGUGGAAAAGGAUGUGGCGUUGCCCAGACAACUAGGAUGUUGGCUUAGAAGCAGCCAUCAUUUAAAGAGUGCGUAAUAGCUCACUAGUCGAGUGACACUGCGCCGAAAAUGUACCGGGGCUAAACAUAUUACCGAAGCUGUGGAUUGUCCUUUGGACAAUGGUAGGAGAGCGUUCUAAGGGCGUUGAAGCAUGAUCGUAAGGACAUGUGGAGCGCUUAGAAGUGAGAAUGCCGGUGUGAGUAGCGAAAGACGGGUGAGAAUCCCGUCCACCGAUUGACUAAGGUUUCCAGAGGAAGGCUCGUCCGCUCUGGGUUAGUCGGGUCCUAAGCUGAGGCCGACAGGCGUAGGCGAUGGAUAACAGGUUGAUAUUCCUGUACCACCUAUAAUCGUUUUAAUCGAUGGGGGGACGCAGUAGGAUAGGCGAAGCGUGCGAUUGGAUUGCACGUCUAAGCAGUAAGGCUGAGUAUUAGGCAAAUCCGGUACUCGUUAAGGCUGAGCUGUGAUGGGGAGAAGACAUUGUGUCUUCGAGUCGUUGAUUUCACACUGCCGAGAAAAGCCUCUAGAUAGAAAAUAGGUGCCCGUACCGCAAACCGACACAGGUAGUCAAGAUGAGAAUUCUAAGGUGAGCGAGCGAACUCUCGUUAAGGAACUCGGCAAAAUGACCCCGUAACUUCGGGAGAAGGGGUGCUCUUUAGGGUUAACGCCCAGAAGAGCCGCAGUGAAUAGGCCCAAGCGACUGUUUAUCAAAAACACAGGUCUCUGCUAAACCGUAAGGUGAUGUAUAGGGGCUGACGCCUGCCCGGUGCUGGAAGGUUAAGAGGAGUGGUUAGCUUCUGCGAAGCUACGAAUCGAAGCCCCAGUAAACGGCGGCCGUAACUAUAACGGUCCUAAGGUAGCGAAAUUCCUUGUCGGGUAAGUUCCGACCCGCACGAAAGGCGUAACGAUUUGGGCACUGUCUCAACGAGAGACUCGGUGAAAUCAUAGUACCUGUGAAGAUGCAGGUUACCCGCGACAGGACGGAAAGACCCCGUGGAGCUUUACUGUAGCCUGAUAUUGAAAUUCGGCACAGCUUGUACAGGAUAGGUAGGAGCCUUUGAAACGUGAGCGCUAGCUUACGUGGAGGCGCUGGUGGGAUACUACCCUAGCUGUGUUGGCUUUCUAACCCGCACCACUUAUCGUGGUGGGAGACAGUGUCAGGCGGGCAGUUUGACUGGGGCGGUCGCCUCCUAAAAGGUAACGGAGGCGCUCAAAGGUUCCCUCAGAAUGGUUGGAAAUCAUUCAUAGAGUGUAAAGGCAUAAGGGAGCUUGACUGCGAGACCUACAAGUCGAGCAGGGUCGAAAGACGGACUUAGUGAUCCGGUGGUUCCGCAUGGAAGGGCCAUCGCUCAACGGAUAAAAGCUACCCCGGGGAUAACAGGCUUAUCUCCCCCAAGAGUUCACAUCGACGGGGAGGUUUGGCACCUCGAUGUCGGCUCAUCGCAUCCUGGGGCUGUAGUCGGUCCCAAGGGUUGGGCUGUUCGCCCAUUAAAGCGGUACGCGAGCUGGGUUCAGAACGUCGUGAGACAGUUCGGUCCCUAUCCGUCGUGGGCGUAGGAAAUUUGAGAGGAGCUGUCCUUAGUACGAGAGGACCGGGAUGGACAUACCUCUGGUGUACCAGUUGUCGUGCCAACGGCAUAGCUGGGUAGCUAUGUGUGGACGGGAUAAGUGCUGAAAGCAUCUAAGCAUGAAGCCCCCCUCAAGAUGAGAUUUCCCAACUUCGGUUAUAAGAUCCCUCAAAGAUGAUGAGGUUAAUAGGUUCGAGGUGGAAGCAUGGUGACAUGUGGAGCUGACGAAUACUAAUCGAUCGAAGACUUAAUCAA